CCUACGGGAGACAGCAGUGGGGAAUAUUGCACAAUGGGGGAAACCCUGAUGCAGCAACGCCGCGUGAGUGAGGAAGUAUUUCGGUAUGUAAAGCUCUAUCAGCAGGGAAUAGCAAAGAAGGUAGCAGAAAAAGAAGCCCCGGCUAACUACGGCCCAGCAGCCACGGUAAUACGUAGGCGGCAAGCGUUGUCCGGAUUUACUGGGCGUAAAGGGAGCGGAGACGGAAAGGCAAGUCAGAAGUGAAAGCCCAAGGCUCAACCAUGGGACUGCAUUUGAAACUGUCAGACUAGAGUGCGGGAGAGGUAAGAGGAAUUCCUAGUGUAGCGGUGAAAUGCGUAGAUAUUAGGAGGAACACCAGUGGCGAAGGCGGCUUACUGGACCGUAACUGACGUUGAGGCUCGAAAGCGUGGGGAGCAAACAGGAUUAGAUACCCCGGUAGUC
rnacentral:rRNA from 1 species